rnacentral:rRNA from 1 species
AAUAGAUACCCGGGUAGUCCACGCUGUAAACGUUGGACACUAGGUGUGGCGGUCUGAUCAACGACUGCCGUGCCGAAGCUAACGCAUUAAGUGUCCCGCCUGGGGAGUACGGCCGCAAGGCUAAAACUCAAAGGAAUUGACGGGUCCCCGCACAAGCGGCGGAGCAUGCGGCUUAAUUCGAUGCAACCCGAAGAACCUUACCUGGGUUUGACAUCAUGGGAAAAGCCGUGGAAACACGGUGUCCGAAAGGGCCCAUGACAGGUGGUGCAUGGCUGUCGUCAGCUCGUGUCGUGAGAUGUUGGGUUAAGUCCCGCAACGAGCGCAACCCUUGUCCUAUGUUGCCAGCGGUUCGGCCGGGGACUCAUAGGAGACUGCCGGGGAUAACUCGGAGGAAGGUGAGGACGAUGUCAAGUCAUCAUGCCCCUUAUAUCCAGGGCUGCACGCAUGCUACAAUGGUCGGUACAACGGGCAGCGAUCCUGCGAAGGUGAGCGAAUCCCACAAAGCCGGCCUCAGUUCGGA